rnacentral:tRNA from 1 species
GUGCCCGUAGCUCAACAGGCAGAGCGCCGUGUUGAAGCCGCGGAGGUCCCGGUUCGAGUCCGGGCGGGCACGCCA